UUCCCAAUAGCAUAGUGGUUAGUGCAUAGCCCGGAUAGGUUGAGACGCGGGUUCGAAUCCCGCCUGAGAUG
rnacentral:tRNA from 1 species